rnacentral:rRNA from 1 species
AAGUGGUAGCAAUACCAUGAGUAAAGUGGCGCACGGGUGAGUAACACGUGACUAACCUACCCUCGAGUGGGGGAUAACUUCGGGAAACCGAGGCUAAUACCGCAUAACAUCUACGGAUCAAAUGCGUUAGCAGCUUGAGGAGGGGGUCGCGGCUGAUUAGCUAGUUGGCGGGGUAAUGGCCCACCAAGGCAAUGAUCAGUAGCCGGCCUGAGAGGGCGCACGGCCACACUGGAACUGAAACACGGUCCAGACUCCUACGGGAGGCAGCAGUGGGGAAUUUUGCGCAAUGGGGGAAACCCUGACGCAGCAACGCCGCGUGGAGGAUGAAGCCCCUUGGG